rnacentral:rRNA from 1 species
UACGUAGGGGGCAAGCGUUGUCCGGAUUUAUUGGGCGUAAAGAGCGUGUAGGCGGCCAGACAGGUCAGCUGUGAAAACUCGAGGCUCAACCUCGAGACGUCGGUUGAAACCGUCUGGCUAGGGUCCGGAAGAGGAGAGUGGAAUUCCCGGUGUAGCGGUGAAAUGCGCAGAUAUCGGGUGGAACGCCAGUGGCGAAGGCGACUUCCUGGCCUGUUCUUGACGCUGAGGCGCGAAAGCUAGGGGAGCAAACGGG